rnacentral:rRNA from 1 species
CCAAUAGCGUAUAUUAAAGUUGUUGCAGUUAAAAAGCUCGUAGUUGAAUUUCGGGGUUAGUAGGUUGGUCGUUCCACUGGUAUGUACUGGUCUUACUGACUUCUCCUUUCUGAAGAACUGUAAUGCCAUUAAUUUGGUGCUGCAGGGAAUAAGGACUGUUACUUUGAAAAAAUGAGAGUGUUUAAAGCAGGCUAACGCUUGAAUACAGUAGCAUGGAAUAAUGAAAUAGGACGUUCGAUCCUAUUUUGUUGGUUUCUAGGAUUGACGUAAUGAUUAAUAGGGAUAGUUGGGGGCAUUAGUAUUCAAUUGUCAGAGGUGAAAUUCUUGGAUUUAUUGAAGACUAACUACUGCGAAAGCAUUUGCCAAGGAUGUUUUCAUUAAUCAAGAACGAAAGUUAGGGGAUCGAAGACGAUCAGAUACCGUCGUAGUCUUAACCAUAAACUAUGCCGACUAGGGAUCGGAUGAUGUUAAUUUUUUAAUGACUCAUUCGGCGCCUUACG